GAGAAAAAUGGUUAUACUUGUUUGCAUAUUAUUUAAUAAGAAUUUUGCAUUUCGAUCAUUUAAACUUGGCUGUGUAUGAAAAGUAUGCAUUACAUUCUUUUAUAUUAUGCAGUUUUGUGCUUUUCCGGAAUUUAUUGGUUAUCAUGAAUAUCGAGGCACUGAUUUUACUCUUGGGACUUUGGAAACUAUUUUACUUGAUAACCGCCAUUGACAGUAGUGAAAAGCCAAAGUGAAACUGCCACAAUUUUUGCUUGUUCGCGAGCAUUUCAAAAGUGUCCGGGACUUCAAAUAACCAGAUACCAUCAAGGUCCACCCGUUACCCAUGGAGAAUCACCAGCUACGAUUAUUAGAUUUUCGGUAAGUACGAAAAGCAUAUUUUUCCGACAAAUAUUAACAUCAAUGUCUCCGCAUUAGAUUUCUCAUCAAAAAGUUGCAUCAACUCAGUUCCUGCUUCCUAGUUAUCCGGAGAACAUCAACGGUGAAACGGUGCAACGGUGAAGCAAUCUUAGGAGGAACUUCCGAUCGAAAUAAUAGGUCCUGAAGAGUAUCCUGCGUAACAGCAAGCCAUAUGACUGGCUAGACCUUAGUGUUAAAUUAAUUAUAUUUAUUUGAUUUAAUUGCAUUUUUAGUAAUGGAAAUGAAAAUAAAUGACAUCUUUCUUUCUAUAUGUCCAAACUAGCCAUAUGUUUCUUUGUUAUUGUGAUAAUCAGCAAAAAAAAAACAAAAAUAAAAAAAAAUAUGCAUUCUACAACAAAUAUAAUCGACGUAUGCAUUUCAAUGCAUACACUGAAAUAAUUUUUAGAGUAAUUUGAACCAUGUACCUAUGUUUAAUUUUACCAUAUCCAAAAAUAGUAAUGGUAACCAUGUUUUUAAUGGUAAUUACGAUGUUUUUGCUCAAAUUUACUAUGAUCUGACAGCUAAUCGAAUAGUGAUUUGCACCAUGAAACGUAGUUAUCAUAAUUACACCUUUCGUGUUCAAUGCAACCAUUUUCGUGUUUAUUGUUACUAUUUACAUGGUUAGUUUGAGUAUACGUAAUUAUUUUCAGUCUUCUGGCAGGUCUUCCGGCCAUCUUGCCAGAAACGUGAAUUGUUAAUAAUUUCUCCUGGGAAUUUUGCAGCUGCUGUAGAAAUCGGUAAAAUGUAUUCAUGGUUCAUGAUGAAUUUGCCACCAGCGGUGCUAUUGUGCAUCAUCCAGCGCCUAGUAAAAAAGCCUUGCUGGCGAGCACUUGGCUUUCGGCAUCAAAGAUCCGUUGCCGAAGAUCGUCGGUUUCAACGUGUGGAUAAUCACCGGCAAUCAAUUAGAGCAUAUGCGUCCAGAGGGCGACGGAUGUUCCUCCACUGGCACCUAAGACCAGCACAUCACAGUGGUCAUCAUUCGAGGCAACGGAUCUUCCGGCUCCCACAUCUACCACUUUGUAGCCGCUUAUCAACUUUUAUCCAUACCGGAGGCAUCAGUUAGUUCGCAGAUGUGAAGAUUUCAGUUUCGAAUGACAUUAGAAACUCGCAUCGCGGAACGACUGCGGAGUAUCUACCGGCAAAACCCCCAAAUUUAGUUCCAUACGUCUCCCCAGUUGAGUGUGGACAAGAUCGUUCAUAUUUAUUAUACAAAUAUCAUUUUAGUGUAUUAUUUAUUUUGAAUAAAUUCAUUUGAUAUAUUUUCUUGCA